UACGUAGGGGGCAAGCGUUGUCCGGAAUUAUUGGGCGUAAAGAGCGCGUAGGCGGUCCGAUAAGUCGGCUGUGAAAGUCAGGGGCUCAACCCUUGAAAGCCGGCCGAUACUGUCGGACUAGAGUCCGGAAGAGGCAAGUGGAAUUCCCGGUGUAGCGGUGAAAUGCGCAGAUAUCGGGAAGAACACCCGUGGCGAAGGCGGUUCUCUGGGACGGUACUGACGCUGAGACGCGAAAGCGUGGGGAGCGAACAGG
rnacentral:rRNA from 1 species